rnacentral:rRNA from 1 species
CCUACGGAGUGCUGCAGUGGGGAAUAUUGGACAAUGGGCGAAAGCCUGAUCCAGCCAUGCCGCGUGUGUGAAGAAGGCCUUCGGGUUGUAAAGCACUUUCAGUGGGGAAGAAAGCCUUGGGGCUAAUACCCUCGAGGAAGGACAUCACCCACAGAAGAAGCACCGGCUAACUCCGUGCCAGCAGCCGCGGUAAUACGGAGGGUGCGAGCGUUAAUCGGAAUUACUGGGCGUAAAGCGCGCGUAGGCGGUCUGAUAAGCCGGUUGUGAAAGCCCCGGGCUCAACCUGGGAACGGCAUCCGGAACUGUCAGGCUAGAGUGCAGGAGAGGAAGGUAGAAUUCCCGGUGUAGCGGUGAAAUGCGUAGAGAUCGGGAGGAAUACCAGUGGCGAAGGCGGCCUUCUGGACUGACACUGACGCUGAGGUGCGAAAGCGUGGGUAGCAAACAGGAUUAGAUACCCGAGUAGUC